rnacentral:rRNA from 1 species
AUUGAACGCUGGCGGCAUGCCUUACACAUGCAAGUCGAACGGCAGCACGGGUGCUUGCACCUGGUGGCGAGUGGCGAACGGGUGAGUAAUACAUCGGAACGUACCUUAUCGUGGGGGAUAACGCAGCGAAAGCUGUGCUAAUACCGCAUACGCCCUGAGGGGGAAAGCGGGGGAUCGGAAAACCUCGCGCGAUUAGAGCGGCCGAUGCCUGAUUAGCUUGUUGGUGGGGUAAAAGCCCACCAAGGCGACGAUCAGUAGCUGGUCUGAGAGGACGAUCAGCCACACUGGGACUGAGACACGGCCCAGACUCCUACGGGAGGCAGCAGUGGGGAAUUUUGGACAAUGGGGGCAACCCUGAUCCAGCAAUGCCGCGUGAGUGAAGAAGGCCUUCGGGUUGUAAAGCUCUUUUGUCAGGGAAGAAACACCGGCUCUAACACAGUCUGGGAAUGACGGUACCUGAAGAAUAAGCACCGGCUAACUACGUGCCAGCAGCCGCCGUAA